GGUUGUAGCUCAGUGGUAGAGCGCUUGCCUACCUUGUGUGAGGCACUGGGUUCGAUCCUCAGCACCA
rnacentral:tRNA from 1 species